CCGGGGGUUCCACCCAAGUCUGUCUGGUUCCUGUAACUGAGAGGUGCGGAUGAAGACCUAGUCAUCAUGCUGAUCAGGGUGAAAUUCAAUGGUGAACAAAAAUAUAUCAAGAUAAUUGACCUGACACUUGAAAAUCUUUUGAUUGGAGCUUUCCUGAAAUUUGAGGCCCACUUACUAGUUUAUCAGAGGCACAGCUGUAUGAUGGGUCUGGAACUGAAGUUGAUGGAAUCUUCCCUGAUGAGUCCUGCCUCUGCCAGUGCUGUGAUGGGUGGUUCAGACCGUGAGUCGGAUGAUACAAUAAUUUUGAGCGAGGAUGGAAGCCCCUCACGAAAGCCUCAAAGAUCUGAUGACGAAGCAAAAAAUCUAAUAGAGGGCAUACUGAAGAAAAAGCCUGGUGGAGAGGUGGUCAUCAAGGAAUACUCCAAAACUAACGGCCUGACUGACUGCACCAGACGAAAGAUGAUCAACAUUCUUGUUUUGGAGAUGACAGAUUCACGGACAUCACCAUCGCGCAGUGUGAGAGAAACGUUUCCACAAGGCAUUGUCUCCUUGUUCCCAUACCUGAAGGAUCCCUACACCACAAAUUGAUAUGAACAUUAUUACCACCCUACUAGUGGAGGAGGGUACCUCUCGUAUAGAAUCAAAACCGUUCAGAGGAAUUUGGCUUCAUCUGAGAAACGGCCCACUCAACUAUACUAUGGAUUGCCAACUGCUGAGAGGGAGUCCAGUCCAUCCACUUUGGCUACUCUGAGUGAAGACUGGUGCAGAGAGACCGUUUCUCUUAUGAAGCAUUCUUCUGAUGAAGAAACAGUCAAACAGAAGAUGAAAUUGACCUUUGGGUACAGGAAGAAGAUGACCCACGACCUGAGUAAAUGCUCCACCAUUCUAACCAAAUUUCCACGCUUUCUGGAUGUGAAGGGCUUAGUAAGACUUAAGUUGUAUACAUUUUGUUGAAUUUCCAGAUGCCAUUUGAGGUUGGCCAGUAAAUUUAAACAAAAACAACACUUCCGUAAUAGUAGCUCAAUUAAUGUGUAGGCUGGGGCUUUACUCAAACUCUGUUUUGGAGGUUCAAAUGGAAUGUUUUAUGAGAAAGAAAUGUACUUGCACAAAACAAAUGUUUUGUUCUUUGUCUUAUUUGUUUCAUGAUUGAACAGAUUUUUGUGGUGCUGUUUUUUGAGGGAACAUCAGCCACGUUUUUGGAGAGGUGGCCAACUAUAAUCAAGCAUGAAUGCUGAUGGUUAGAUGAUCAUAAUUUGUCAUUUACACUACCGUUCAAAGGUUUGGGGUCACUUAGAAAUGUCCUUGUUUUUGAAAGAAAAGCUUAUUUUUUUUGUCCAUUAAAAUAACAUCAAAUUGAUCAGAAAUACAUUGUAGACGUUGUUAAUGUUGUAAAUUGCUAUUGUAGCUGGAAAAGGCUGAUUUUUAUUGGAAUAUCUACAUACAGAGGCACAUUAUCACCAACCAUCACUCCUGUGUUCGAUUACAGGCUCAAAAUGGCCAGAAACAAAGACCUUCCUUCUGAAACUCAUCGGUCUAUUCUUGUUCUGAGAAAUGAAGGCUACUCCAUGCGAGAAAUUGCCAAGAAACUGAAGAUCUCGUACAAAGCUGUGUACUACUCCCUGCAGAGAACAGCACAAACUGGCUCUAACCAGAAUAGAAAGAGGAGUGGGAGGCCCCGGUGCACAACUGAGCAAGAGGACAAGUACAUUACAGUGUCUAGUUUGUGAAACAGACACUUAACAAGUCCUCAACUGGCAGCUUUAUUAAAUAGUACCCGCAAAACACCAGUCUCAAUGUCAACAGUGAAGAGGCGACCCCAGAAUGCUGGCCUUCUAGGCAGAGUUCCUCUGUCCAGUGUCUGUGUUCUUUUGCCCAUCUUAAUCUUUUCUUUUUGUUGGCCAGUCUGGGAUAUGGCAUUUUCUUUGCAACUCUUCCUAGAAGGCCAGCAUCCUUCAUUAACCUGUUGAGGGUAGGGGGCAGUAUUUGCACGGCCGGAUAAAAAACGUACCCGAUUUAAUCUGGUUAUUACUACUGCCCAGAAACUAGAAUAUGCAUAUAAUUAUUGGCUUUGGAUAGAAAACACCCUAAAGUUUCUAAAACUGUUUGAAUGGUGUCUGUGAGUAUAACAGAACUCAUAUGGCAGGCAAAAACCUGAGAAGAUUCUGUACAGGAAGUGCCCUCUCUGACCAUUCCUUGGGCUUCUUGACUCUUUUUAUUGAAAACUUAGGAUCUUUGCUGUAACGUGACACUUCCUACGGCUCCCAUAGGCUCUCAGAACCCAGGAAAAACCUGAAUGACGUCUUUGCAGCCCCUGGCUGAAAAACAUUAGCGCCUUUGGUAAGUAGUCUAUCAGAGGACAAUGAGACUGAGGCGCGUGCACGAGGUGACCCCAUGUUUUUAUUUUCUCUCUCUUUGUACUAAAACACGGUUUCCCGGUUGGAAUAUUAUCGCUUUUUUACGAGAAAAAUGGCAUAAAAAUUGAUUUUAAACAGCGGUUGACAUGCUUCGAAGUACGGUAAUGGAAUAUUUAGAAUUUUUUUGUCACGAAACGCGUCGGGCGCAUCACCUUUCGGAUAGUGUCUUGAACGCACGAACAAAACGCCACUAUUUGGAUAUAACUAUGGAUUAUUUUGAACCAAACCAACAUUUGUUAUUGAAGUAGAAGUCCUGGGAGUGCAUUCUGAUGAAGAACAGCAAAGGUAAUAACAUAUUUCUUAUAGUAAAUCUGACUUUGGUGAGGGCUAAACUUGGUGGGUGUCUAAAUAGCUAGCCCUGUGAUGCCGGGCUAUCUACUUAGAAUAUUGCAAAAUGUGCUUUCACCGAAAAGCUAUUUUAAAAUCGGACAUAGCGAGUGCAUAGAGGAGUUCUGUAUCUAUAAUUCUUAAAAUAAUUGUAUGUUUUUUGUGAACGUUUAUCGUGAGUAAUUUUGUAAAUUCACUGGAAGUUUGCGGGGGGAGGUAUGCUAGUUCUGAACGUCACAUGCUAAUGUAAAAAGCUGGUUUUUGAUAUAAAUAUGAACUUGAUUGAACAAAACAUGCAUGUAUUGUAUAACAUAAUGUCCUAGGAUUGUCAUCUGAUGAAGAUCAUCAAAGGUUAGUGCUGCAUUUAGCUGUGGUUUGGGUUUAUGUGACAUGCUAGCUUGAAAAAUGUGUGUCUGAUUAUUUCUGGCUGGGUACUCUGCUGACAUAAUCUAAUGUUUUGCUUUCGUUGUAAAGCCUUUUUGAAAUCGGACAGUGUGGUUAGAUUAACGAGAGUCUUGUCUUUAAAAUUGUGUAAAAUAGUCAUAUGUUUGAGAAAUUGAAGUAAUAGCAUUUCUAAGGUAUUUGAAUAACGCGCCACGGGAUUCCACUGGCUGUUACAUAGGUGGGACGAAAUCGUCCCACUGGCCCUAGAGAGGUUAAAGCAUAAUUAUAUUUUGUCUGUAAGUACUUUUAUUGCUUCUUUAAUCAGAACAACAGUUUUCAGCUGUGCAAACAUAAUUGCAAAAGGGUUUUCUAAUGAUCAAUUAGCCUGCUAAACUUGGAUUAGCUAACACAACGUGCCAUUGGAGCACAGGAGUGAUGGUUGCUGAUAAUGGGCCUCUGUACGCCUAUGUAGAUAUUCCAUUAAAAUAUCUGCUGUUUUCAUCUACAAUAGUCAUUUACAACAGUAACAAUGUCUACACUGUAUUUUUCAUCAAUUUGAUGUUAUUUAAAAAAAAAAAAAAUUUCUUUCAAAAACAAGAUUUCUAAGUUACCCCAAAUUUCAAAUCAAAUGAAAUGUAUUUGUCACAUACACAUGGUUAGCAAGUGAAAUUGCAGAGCGCAAAAUUCAAAAUACAAAAAUCAUAAUAUUAAACAUUCAUGAAAAUACAAGUGUCAUACAUCAUUUAAAAUCUUAACUUCUUGUUAAUCCAGC
rnacentral:lncRNA from 1 species